rnacentral:RNase_P_RNA from 16 species
UGGAACAGUGGUGAUUCCUACGAUUAAGAAACCUGUUUGCAAAAGGGCCUGCCCACGCGGGUCAUCUUAUUUAUCAGGUGGGAAAUUCGGUGGAACACAGUGGAGCCUUGCCUUCCGGGCCAUUGUCUCUGGCAGUGGCCCCUGCUCGUGAGAGAAGAAACUUGCUGGGGAACCAGUCUUUACCGACCGUUGCUAUCAGAAAUUGAACGGGGCCCGGUCCCGCCGGGCCUCGAUGGGAACGGCAACGGUUGUUCCGUUUGACUUGUCGCCCGCCACGGCGCGCUGCAAGGUCUGUUGAGUGCAAUCGUAGGACGCCAUUCGUGGCGAACCCGAUACCGAUUACUGCUGCUGCUCCA